UAACCCUGAAAACACAGAGAAUGG
rnacentral:piRNA from 1 species